GACGAACGCUGGCGGCGUGCCUAAUACAUGCAAGUCGAGCGGACGGAUGGGAGCUUGCUCCCAGACCGUCAGCGGCGGACGGGUGAGUAACACGUGGGCAACCUGCCUGUAAGACUGGGAUAACUCCGGGAAACCGGGGCUAAUACCGGAUAACUCUUUCCUUCACAUGAGGGAAAGCUGAAAGAUGGCAUCUCGCUAUCACUUACAGAUGGGCCCGCGUCGCAUUAGCUAGUUGGUGAGGUAACGGCUCACCAAGGCGACGAUGCGUAGCCGACCUGAGAGGGUGAUCGGCCACACUGGGACUGAGACACGGCCCAGACUCCUACGGGAGGCAGCAGUAGGGAAUCUUCCGCAAUGGACGAAAGUCUGACGGAGCAACGCCGCGUGAGUGAUGAAGGUUUUCGGAUCGUAAAACUCUGUUGUCAGGGAAGAACAAGUACCGGAGUAACUGCCGGUACCUUGACGGUACCUGACCAGAAAGCCACGGCUAACUACGUG
rnacentral:rRNA from 1 species